UACCUCGCUGACCUGCUUUAAUCUCCUCCAACCUGGCCUUUGACUUCGGGGACUCCUCUUACCUUUCUUUACCUGCCAUGGCCUGCCCCUUCCCGGGGUCUCCUUCACCCCCUCCUCUCUGGUCCCAUCCCUUGUGCGAUCAAAGCCCCCGCCUUCCUCCACCGCUCGGCCUGCUCCGCUGAAGCCUCAUUUUGUGCCCCUGGGCUGGGAGGGAGUGUGUAGUGCAAAGUGGGGCAAGACUCCGGCUGGGCCGGGACCCUUUGUCGCCCCCUCCGCCCGUCGCGAGCCAGCCGGGGUUGCGGCGCUUCCUGGGCGGAGGGCUUGGACUCGCUGCGGCAGCUGCGGUUCUGCUGUGUCAUGCAAGAAGGAGGCGGCGGCGGCCGGAGCUGGAGGGGGAGGAGGGGAGGAACCUGAUCCUCCGGUAGCGAAGGGCUGGAGGCAAACACCGAGCUCCCCCAGAGCCGCCCGGGAGCAGGGAGGGCUCUGCUACCCCGGGGGGCCCUCCCCGCGGGGCAGAGGAGUUCAAGGUGCAGACUCUGAGCCAUGCUUUGGGGUCACUCAUGCACCCCGUCCUGCUGAUUCUACCUAAGCUGUUGGACUCGUAACCCACUCUGCACUUGAGAACAUGGGAAUAAGCUCCUCCUUCCCCAAUUUAAGGCUCUCCUUUUGCUGGUCUUCGCGUAGUACUGAUCAUCUGACAGAGUAUGUGUUCUUGCAUACUGUCGUGAUUGAAGAACUGAAGUUAUCAAGAAAGAAAAUAAUAACACCCAAUGUCAACCUACUGAGCACCAGGUAAACUCUUUGUAUACAUGACUCAUUUAUCCUUAUGAGCCAGAGAAAUCGGUGUUACCCAUUAGGAAGGAUGAGACUGAAGCUUAGAGCGAAAUAACUUGCCCAAGCUCACUUACCGAGAAAGUUACUGAACUACAGUUUAAACUUAUCUUUCUGCCUCAAAUCCCAUGCCUGUAGCUGCUAUACGGAUGCACAUAUGUCAGUUACUAAGAUGGUGAAGUUAAUUUGUUAUAUGGUCAUUGACCAGAUGAUGCAAACUAUUGACUGACUGCUUAAUUCAACACAAAACUUAUAAUCAAUCAAUGGCAAGUGUCUUUGCAUGUGAACAAUUUGACACCUAACUGUCUUGGGUAUCUUCAGUGUCCUAAGUAUUCAGUUAUUAACUAAUAGUAAUUUUAUCUGCUUAGAUUAAUGACCUCCUUUGAAGGACUUGCUUCGGGACAAACAGCAACUUUUUUUGCCAAAGCAAAAUCCUU
rnacentral:lncRNA from 1 species